rnacentral:rRNA from 1 species
AUUGAACGCUGGCGGCAGGCUUAACACAUGCAAGUCGAGCGGAGUGAUGGUGCUUGCACUAUCACUUAGCGGCGGACGGGUGAGUAAUGCUUAGGAAUCUGCCUAUUAGUGGGGGACAACAUCUCGAAAGGGAUGCUAACACCGCAUACGUCCUACGGGAUAAAGCAGGGGAUCACUUGUGACCUUGCGCUAAUAGAUGAGCCUACGGCGGAUUAGCUAGUUGGUGGGGUAAAGGCCUACCAAGGCGACGAUCUGUAGCGGGUCUGAGAGGAGGAUCCGCCACACUGGGACUGAGACACGGCCCAGACUCCUACGGGAGGCAGCAGUGGGGAAUAUUGGACAAUGGGGGGAACCCUGAUCCAGCCAUGCCGCGUGUGUGAAGAAGGCCUUAUGGUUGUAAAGCACUUUAAGCGAGGAGGAGGCUCUUUUGGUUAAUACCCAAGAUGAGUGGACGUUACUCGCAGAAUAAGCACCGGCUAACUCUGUGCCAGCAGCCGCGGUAA